CAUGCAGUCGAACGAGAAUCUACUGAAAGAGUUUUCGGACAAUGGAAGUAGAGGAAAGUGGCGGACGGGUGAGUAACGCGUGAGGAACCUGCCUUGAAGAGGGGGACAACAGUUGGAAACGACUGCUAAUACCGCAUGAAGCAUAGGGGUCGCAUGAUCUUUAUGCCAAAGAUUUAUCGCUUCAAGAUGGCCUCGCGUCUGAUUAGCUAGUUGGCGGGGUAACGGCCCACCAAGGCGACGAUCAGUAGCCGGACUGAGAGGUUGAACGGCCACAUUGGGACUGAGAUACGGCCCAGACUCCUACGGGAGGCAGCAGUGGGGAAUAUUGGGCAAUGGGCGCAAGCCUGACCCAGCAACGCCGCGUGAAGGAAGAAGGCUUUCGGGUUGUAAACUUCUUUUAAGAGGGAAGAGCAGAAGACGGUACCUCUAGAAUAAGCCACGGCUAACUACGUGCCAGCAGCCGCGGUAAUACGUAGGUGGCAAGCGUUGUCCGGAUUUACUGGGUGUAAAGGGCGUGCAGCCGGGUCUGCAAGUCAGAUGUGAAAUCCAUGGGCUCAACCCAUGAACUGCAUUUGAAACUGUAGAUCUUGAGUGUCGGAGGGGCAAUCGGAAUUCCUAGUGUAGCGGUGAAAUGCGUAGAUAUUAGGAGGAACACCAGUGGCGAAGGCGGAUUGCUGGACGAUAACUGACGGUGAGGCGCGAAAGUGUGGGGAGCAAACAGGAUUAGAUACCCUGGUAGUCCACACUGUAAACGAUGAAUACUAGGUGUGCGGGGACUGACCCCCUGCGUGCCG
rnacentral:rRNA from 1 species